UACGGAGGUUGCAAGCGUUAAUCGGAAUUACUGGGCGUAAAGGGUGCGUAGGUGGUUUAUUAAGUUAUCUGUAAAAUCCCCGGGCUUAACCUGGGCAGGUCAGAUAAGACUGGUAGACUCGAGUAUGGGAGAGGGUAGUGGAAUUUCCGGUGUAGCGGUGAAAUGCGUAGAGAUCGGAAGGAACACCAGUGGCGAAGGCGGCUACCUGGCCUAAUACUGAAACUGAGGCACGAAAGCGUGGGGAGCAAACAGG
rnacentral:rRNA from 1 species